GUCUUUUUUUUUUUUUUUUUUGUUUUUUUCUGUUUUCCGAAAUCUUGAAUGACACAUAUCUCGAAUCUGAAUUCUGAUUAUCAUAAUAUUUCACAUAUCUGAAGUAUUUUUGUUUCGCAACGUCAUACAAAUUGAUCGCAUCAUUCGCAUGUUCGGCUGUUCGCAUCAUUCGUCAUUUCGUCUGCUGUGGCGUGGUUUGGUCUGAUCUGGUCUGUUAGUAUGGUUUCUUACAACAACAACUGGGAAGAGUAAUGCAGCAAGAAAGUAAAAAGUGAUAAAAUUGCAGUUUGAAUCUGGUUCAGAAAUGGACACAUGAAGAUCCUCAAGUUUAAAUUUAACUAGAAAGAGCUUGUGGGAUACAGGCUAAAGAUGAAAUACAAGAUUGGUGUUGACCAAAGCAAUCAGCAGUAUAUAAUGUGAUUCAAGAGAAUUGAUCGUAACAUGGUGUAUCCAAACCAACCAAAGUUGUAACUAGACAGCUUUAGACAAGUUCGUCUUCAUUGAAAGUCAAAUCAAGCUUCCACAAAUUGCAGCUCAUGGACAUUGUGUUGACUCCACCCAAGUUGUAAAACCAGAGAAAGAAUUUCUCAUUCUCAUGCAGUGGCAAUAGUUGAAGAAAAGUUGUCCGAAGAUCUAAAUGACACAGAAUUUUACACUUGCAAUUUCAAGCAACUGUUGGGCUUCGGUAACCAAGUUUGAAAGGGAUUUCAAUAGAUUUGAAUAAAGAAAAUUCAAAACGUUUGAGAAAGAGCUGAAACACGAAAAAUCCAAUGGGUCAUUACUGGAGUAGAGAUCUCAUUGCUUGGUGCCUACCGUGACUUAUUGGUCUAGCUCUACGACGGUAGAAGAAAAAUGCUGCUGGUGUAGGACGUUGAUAGUGUUGCACUCAUCCCCUGACGGCAGAAGAACAAGAGAUCCAGGUCCUCUAUUUAUUGGCAUCACGCAUCACCCCAUUGAUUUCACGUGACACGAAUCGACACAAAUUGCUGGAUUAGAUUGACGACUCGUUUUUUAUAAAAAAUGGACGACAACGCAAAAGGACCUCAGGCGAGAGACGAUUUUGAAAAUGGUUUAUCCCGACUGCUAAUUCAGACGAAUCUUGAUUUCGAAUUUGAUAACAUUGCUGGACCGUCAAAAGCCUUCCAUUAAUCCCUGCUGAAAGAUGAAACUUUCUUCUGGACCUACGUUAGAAGAAUCUUUGCAGAUCGAUUGCCCUUACCAUGUUAUAGGAUACCAAAGCCCUUCACUAGAACUCGCCCGAAAAAAAAACUGGUCGACUUUGACGAGUCUUUCGCGAAAAUCGAUAGUUUGGCAGCCAUCGUCGCUUCCGCCCGAAUUACAAGAAGUCAUCCUUUUCGAUUUUCUUGAACUACAGGAGAAAAACUGAAGUUUGUCCGAUCCACUUAUCAUAAGCAAAGUGCGAAAUUAUUCACACUCACAUUUCCUAAUCUGAAAUUAAAAACAGAACAAAGCAUUAAUCAGUUUAUCUCUCUUCAUUCCGAUUCCCUCACUACGCUUCUACUCAACUGUCAACACCUUUCAUUCGCAUAGUUGACCAUUUGAAUCUUGAUAUAAUAGUGGUCGCUUCCGUGCCGCUGUUACACACCUGCAGUCACUCACCACGGACUAUGCCCAGUCAAACGUGGUAAUCGUGGAGGAAUCUUUUGGUUCCGUCAGUAGGUGGCUAAAAUCAAGUUGUCCCCCAGCCGCCAGAUGACGCAAGUGUCUUUGAGAGGACGACAUUUGCUCCAUUUUGUUCCGAAACGCCAAGUGAAAAGGUAUUCCAAAUACGUUACGGAAUUGCGGUGUCGAUCUACAUUUUCAGCAUUGAAAUUUAAUGGCAAUCUGGCAUAUAAUUUCCACUUGGCCGAAUAAUCGGUCACGUCUCACGUGGACUGAAACUGCUUUCCAUUUUGCCGAAAUGUCGUCCGUUGUUAGCUGUAACUGUUCGGAUGUACGUCUCAUCUCACGCAGAAACACUACAGAGAUUUUAUUAGUUGGUGUUCAGGUUGGAGAUCCUGUUGCUUAGCUGUGCAGAAUGUGAGAACUCGAAAAUUCUAAGCUCAAUGGCUGGCAUCAUGGCCACAGUGGUGUUGUUGCAGCCAGCUGGUGAAAGGCGAGAUUGAGUCAAGUUGAGCUGCAGCUGCUGCAUGCAGUUUAUCGAGCUGGUGUUAUCUGGAAGUGUCAUUGCAGGAAGACUUUUUGAAAUGGACUUGGUGAUACUUAAACUAUUCCUGUGCUGUUCAAUGUGCAGUGGUUUUGCAGCCUGUUUCCAGUUGAGAGAGGUGAUUAUGAAGCUGGUACAGGAUUGAAGAAAAAGAACUUAAGUAGCUGUGCUGGUGUUCUCCUGAAAUUGCUGUGCCACAGGAGUUGCAGAUAGUGUUUGGUUCCUCAUAGAAGUUUACUUAAAGAGUCUGGAGAUCAGCCACUUCUGCCUAUAACUUGUGUAAAACUUCAAAGUUGUAAAAAAUAUACAAGUCGUGAACUAAA